UACGGAGGGAGCUAGCGCUGUUCGGAAUUACUGGGCGUAAAGCGCACGUAGGCGGCGAUUCAAGUCAGAGGUGAAAGCCCGGGGCUCAACCCCGGAACUGCCUUUGAAACUAGAUCGCUAGAAUCUUGGAGAGGUCAGUGGAAUUCCGAGUGUAGAGGUGAAAUUCGUAGAUAUUCGGAAGAACACCAGUGGCGAAGGCGACUGACUGGACAAGUAUUGACGCUGAGGUGCGAAAGCGUGGGGAGCAAACAGG
rnacentral:rRNA from 1 species